GACGAACGCUGGCGGCGUGCUUAACACAUGCAAGUCGAACGGAAAGGCCCCCAUCUUGGUGGGGGUGCUCGAGUGGCGAACGGGUGAGUAACACGUGGGUGAUCUGCCCUGUACUUCGGGAUAAGCUUGGGAAACUGGGUCUAAUACCGGAUAGGACCAUGGUUUAGUGUCUCAUGGUGGAAAGAUUAUUGUUUUGGUGCAGGAUGAGCUCGCGGCCUAUCAGCUUGUUGGUGGGGUAAUGGCCUACCAAGGCGUCGACGGGUAGCCGGCCUGAGAGGGUGGACGGCCACAUUGGGACUGAGAUACGGCCCAGACUCCUACGGGAGGCAGCAGUGGGGAAUAUUGCACAAUGGGCGCAAGCCUGAUGCAGCGACGCCGCGUGGGGGAUGACGGCCUUCGGGUUGUAAACUCCUUUCGUUAGGGACGAAGCCACGCCUUUUGGGUGUGGUGACGGUACCUUUGUGAAGAAGCACCGGCUAACUACGUG
rnacentral:rRNA from 1 species